rnacentral:rRNA from 1 species
CUACGGGCUGCUGCAGUGGGGAAUAUUGCACAAUGGAGGAAACUCUGAUGCAGCAACGCCGCGUGGAGGAUGACACUUUUCGGAGCGUAAACUCCUUUUAUAUAGGAAGAAGAUGACGGUACUAUAUGAAUAAGCGCCGGCUAACUCCGUGCCAGCAGCCGCGGUAAUACGGAGGGCGCAAGCGUUACUCGGAAUCACUGGGCGUAAAGAGCGUGUAGGCGGACUAAAAAGUCAGAAGUGAAAUCCUAUAGCUUAACUAUAGAACUGCUUCUGAAACUCUUAAUCUAGAAUAUGAGAGAGGUAGAUGGAAUUUCUGGUGUAGGGGUAAAAUCCGUAGAGAUCAGAAGGAAUACCGAUUGCGAAGGCGAUCUACUAGAACAUUAUUGACGCUGAGACGCGAAAGCGUGGGGAGCAAACAGGAUUAGAUACCCUCGUAGUC